rnacentral:rRNA from 1 species
UACAUGUGGGGCAAGCGUUGUUCGGAAUUACUGGGCGUAAAGGGCGCGUAGGCGGCACGGCAAGUCGGGAGUGAAAGGCCUGGGCUCAACCGAGGAACUGCUUUCGAGACUGCCGAGCUAGAGUGCGGAAGGGGCAACUGGAAUUCCCAGUGUAGCGGUGAAAUGCGUAGAUAUUGGGAAGAACACCUGAGGCGAAGGCGGGUUGCUGGGCCGACACUGACGCUGAGGCGCGAAAGCCAGGGGAGCAAACGGG